rnacentral:rRNA from 1 species
UACGGGGGGAGCAAGUGUUGUUCGGAUUUACUGGGCGUAAAGGGCGCGUAGGCGGCCACCGCAAGUCGACUGUGAAAUUUCCGGGCUUAACCCGGAAAGGUCAGCCGAUACUGCGGGGCUAGAGUGCAGAAGGGGCAACUGGAAUUCUCGGUGUAGCGGUGAAAUGCGUAGAUAUCGAGAGGAACACCUGCGGCGAAGGCGGGUUGCUGGGCUGACACUGACGCUGAGGCGCGAAAGCUAGGGGAGCGAACGGG